rnacentral:rRNA from 1 species
GACGAACGCUGGCGGCGUGCUUAACACAUGCAAGUCGAACGGAAAGGCCCUGCUUUUGUGGGGUGCUCGAGUGGCGAACGGGUGAGUAACACGUGAGUAACCUGCCCUUGACUGUGGGAUAACUUCAGGAAACUGGGGCUAAUACCGGAUAGGAGCUCCUGCUGCAUGGUGGGGGUUGGAAAGUUUCGGCGGUUGGGGAUUGACUCGCGGCUUAUCAGCUUGUUGGUGGGGUAGUGGCUUACCAAGGCUUUGACGGGUAGCCGGCCUGAGAGGGUGACCGGCCACAUUGGGACUGAGAUACGGCCCAGACUCCUACGGGAGGCAGCAGUGGGGAAUAUUGCACAAUGGGCGGAAGCCUGAUGCAGCAACGCCGCGUGCGGGAUGACGGCCUUCGGGUUGUAAACCGCUUUCGCCUGUGACGAAGCGUGAGUGACGGUAAUGGGUAAAGAAGCACCGGCUAACUACGUG